rnacentral:rRNA from 1 species
UACGGAGGGGGCUAGCGUUAUUCGGAAUUACUGGGCGUAAAGCGCACGUAGGCGGAUCAGAAAGUUAGGGGUGAAAUCCCAGGGCUCAACCCUGGAACUGCCUCUAAAACUCCUGGUCUUGAGGUCGAGAGAGGUGAGUGGAAUUCCGAGUGUAGAGGUGAAAUUCGUAGAUAUUCGGAGGAACACCAGUGGCGAAGGCGACUCACUGGCUCGAUACUGACGCUGAGGUGCGAAAGCGUGGGGAGCAAACAGG